CGCGCGCAGGGCUUCAUUCGAUCAAAUCCUUCAUCUGGGACCACUCGCCGAGUCGUACUUUUUAACACCGCAGAACAAUUGGACGAGCCACAAUUUGAGAGGAGUUCUGUUGCUUAACAUCAAUUACAGUCACAAAGGAAAGAGAGUUUAAAAAAAGUAUUGUAUCCAGACUGAGCAUCUUUCUUUGCCACCAGCUAUGGAGAGGGUUGUCAGAUUAUGCCCUAUUUGGCACAAUAACGUUUUUUGGUUUAUGCUUUUGAUAAUCAUAUAUUUCUUUCUAGCCGCUAAAUCAGAGCUAACUUGCAGAUCAUGUCAGCCGGGAGAUAAGGGGCGUAUUAAGGAAUUACUGCUUAAAACGGACACACGAGAAUUCGCAACAGGGUACGGAGAGGAAGUUAUUGGAAAUGGAGACGGGGCAACUGCUUCACGGAGUUUAAAUUCUGCAAGUGCCGAAACUCAACAGCUUGAUUGCGCAGCUGGGUCGGAUGCAUGCAUCCAGGGGAAAUACAUCUACUCAAGGCGAAAACGGAAUACUGACAUGCUGUUCCGUUCCAAGAACGCACUACUCGAUGGAGGAAUGCAAUACGGUGGUGGUAAACAGAGAAAAUUCACCCCGCGCGGUGAGUACAAAGUUUCCAACCUGAAAAUGAACCUUCAUGCAGGAAAUACAGAUGUCGGGAAGGCUCGCGCAGAUUUAAUUCCCGGCAUCACACACAAGCACCGAGUUCGUAGGAACAGCCCGAGAGCUAAUAUUGGGGACGAUAAAGUGAAGUCCUCCGGCUCACCCAAGAGAAGGGAGACGCUGCCUCUGAGUUACUCUCGAGAGGGCAUCACCUCACCGGCUGGGCGCAGCAGAGUGACACGGUCCGAAUUACGAUGGAGCAACGAGGACAGGAGAGCGGCCAGUUCGAGGCAGGACGAACUCAAACUCACCAGUUCAACCUUCGCUUUGACCGGAGAUUCCGCUCACAACCAAGCCAUGGUGCACUGGUCUGGGCAAAACAGCAGUGUGAUUCUCAUGCUGACCAAGCUGUUUGACUUCAACCUGAACAGUGUCACGGAGAGCUCGUUGUGGAGGUCAACCGACUAUGGAACCACUUACCAGAAGCUCAAUGAGAAAGUGGGGGCGAAAACAAUCCUCAGCUACUUGUACGUCAGUCCCAACAACAAGAGAAAGAUCAUGCUUCUGACUGACCCGGAGGUGGAAAGCAGCCUGCUGAUCAGCUCCGAUGAGGGAGCCACCUAUCAGAAGUACCGCCACAGCUUCUACAUCCUCAGCCUUCUCUUCCACCCCGAGCAGGAGGACUGGAUCCUUGCCUACAGCCAUGACCAGAAGCUGUACAGCUCGGUGGAGUUUGGAAGGAGGUGGCAACUUGUCCAUGAGAGGGUGGCCCCCAAUCGAUUCUACUGGUCAAAAACGGGUUUAGACAAAGAACCGGGCUUAAUUCACCUGGAAACCAUCAUCUCUGAAGGACAGGCGUUGUACGUCACCUGCAAGCUGCAGAACUGCACCGAGGCCAAUAAGGGCAAGCCGUUCCCUGGCUACAUUGACCCCAAUUCCCUUGUGGUGCAAGACGAGUAUGUGUUUGUCCAGGUGUCAACUGGUGGGCGUCCAAUCUACUACGUGUCAGCCAAGCGGGAAGUCUUCACACCCAUGAAGCUACCCAAAUACACCUUGCCUAAGGAUCUGCAUGUGAUCAGUACAGAUGAGAACCGGGUGGUUGCGGCGGUGCAGGAGUGGAACCAGAACGACACCUACAACCUGUACGUGUCAGAGACUGGAGGGGUCUUCUACACCCUGGCCCUGGAGAACGUAGUCAGCAGCAUGGGGCACGAGGGCAAUGUCAUGAUAGACCUGUAUGAGGUGGCGGGAAUAAAAGGGAUGUUCCUCGCCAACAAGAAGACGGACAACGUGGUGAAGACUUACAUCACCUACAACAGAGGGAGAGACUGGAGGCUCCUGCAGGCUCCCACUGCUGAUCUGAGGGGCAACAGCAUCCGCUGUGAACUACCAUACUGUUCCCUACACCUCCACCUGCAUGUGUCGGCCAACCCCUACACGUCGGGGAAUAUCGAGAGCAAGGACUCUGCCCCGGGGAUCAUUGUGGCCUCAGGCUCCAUCGGAGCGGAGUUGACCACCAGCAACGUGAGCAUGUUCAUCACCUCGGACGCCGGCAACACGUGGAGACAGAUCUUUGAUGAGGAGUACAGUGUUCUCUACCUGGACCAAGGAGGGGCCCUGGUGGCUAUAAGACACACUCCACUCCCCAUCCGACACCUAUGGAUGAGUUUCGACGAGGGGAGACAGUGGAAUAAAUACAGUUUCACCAUGUCUCCUCUGUUUGUGGACGGGUUGCUAGGGGAGCCGGGGGAGGAGACUCUCAUCAUGACGAUCUUUGGCCACGUCAGUCACCGGUCCGAGUGGCAGCUAGUCAAGAUUGACUUCAGGUCCAUCUUCAACCGGAGAUGUACAGAGGGGGAUUACCAGACAUGGCACCUACACAACCGGGGCGAGCCGUGCAUCAUGGGAGUGAAAAGAAUCUACAGGAAGUUGAAGCCCAUAGCCAGGUGCGUUAUGGGUAAGACAUACUCGGUCACGAUGACCUCGGCGCCCUGCGACUGCACAGAGGCCGACUUUGAGUGUGACUAUGGCUAUGAGAGGCGGAGUGACGGCAAGUGCACCCCCGCCUUUUGGUUCCUCCCAUCGUCCAUGUCUAGAAGCUGUACCACAGGGACUACUUUCAUCAACAGCACUGGCUACAGGAAGGUGGUGUCCAAUAACUGCACAGCGGGAGUCAUAGCAGAGUACACGGCCAGGAGGCAGCACUGUCCUACCCAGGCCCCCAAAGGCCUGCACCUCGUCACCAGUGAAGGAAAGCUGACAGCUACGCUGGGCACCAAUGUCACCUUCCUGGUGUUUCUUGAAGAGGGCGACGGAGCCAGGACGAGCAUCAUGGUGGACUUCGGGGACGGUCACGCUCUGACCUACUCCAACGUGAGCUCCAUAGAGGAUGGGGUCAAGCACGUCUACAAGGCUGUGGGGAUCUACCGUGUGUCCGCUACAGGAGAGAACAGGCUGGGGUCGGAGAGCGUGGUGCUGUACCUCCACGUCACAUGUCAGCUGGAGUAUAUCCAUCUCUCCGCUCCCUUUGUGGCGGUGAAGAGUAAGGAAGUCAACCUCACCGCUGUGCUGUGGCCGAGCCAAGUGGGAACAGUCACCUACAUCUGGUGGUUCGGAAAUAACACUGAGCCGAUAAUCACCCUGGAAGGGAGCGUUGCGUGCACGUUCUCCCGGGAAGGCGUCAACACUGUCACCGUGCAGGUGUCCGCUGGGAACGCCAUCCUGCAGGACCGGAAAACCAUCGCUGUCCACGAAUAUUUCAGGUCACAUCUACUAGCCUUCUCAUCUAACCUGGAUGACCACAACCCCGAUGUGGCCGAAUGGAGACUGGACGUCAGCAGAGUCAUCAAGAACUCCAUGGUCAAAGCCACAGGGGUGAGCCCGGAUCUGCUCCUUGUCACCGUCCUACCAGGGUUGCCCACGGCUGCAGAGUUUUUCCUCCUGCCAGACAAAGAGUUAACAGAGGGCAAGCCAGAGAAGAACUCAGCUCAUUUAGACCAGCUCUCUGAAAUCUUGCUUAGCGCCCUCAACCAAAACCUGGUCCAGUUCACCCUUCGGCCUGGGGUCCAGGUCACAGUAUACGCUGCACAUUUGUCAGCAGCUACACAGAGACAUUCAGAGAGUGAGCAUCGUUACAAGUAUGUGUGCCUCUUCCUUUUGGGGAUGCUGCUACUGUCCUAGGGGCUUAUAAGAUAAAGACGCCCCUAGUGGACACGAGUGAGAACCACAGCGGCUCGGCCAUGCUGAUGCUGCUGUCGGUUGUGGUUCUGGGUUUGGCGAUAUUUGUCGUCUACAAAUUCAAAAGAUCCCAGGCCUCAACGUCUAUGCGCAGAUGCAGAACGAAAAAGAACAAGAAAUGAUCCCGAGUCCAGUAAGUCCGACGGAAAGCACCCUGGUGUCCCCGAACACUCCGAUGGAGCUGGUGACUUCUCCGGAGCUUAUGGACACAGAGUUGAACACAAGGCCCAUCGGAUGCAUCAAACCUCACGCACAUGUCAAGUUCUCAACGGAACUCCCCACGUACAUCAACAUUUAAAAACUCUGGACAACUCCGAAAACAGCAACUCCAUUCUGUGUCAUGGACUUUUUUAAUCAUUUGAGCGGACACAAUGGUUUUGAGCUUUAUACCUGUGCAUGUUGGACUUUACUGACUUUGCUGACACUUACUGUGCUCUGUGAAAACCAGAAGAAACUGUAUACAGGUUGUUGUUUUUUUAUACGUAAUAUAAGUCUAUCCAAUAAAAAAUAAUUUUUGAUGAAAUGUAUUUAUACAAAGUCAA